rnacentral:tRNA from 1 species
GGUUGGGUGGCUGAGUAAAGGUGUGAGAUUGUAAAUCUCCCUAGGGAAGCUGACCUUCCCUCAACCA